GGGGAGCGGAGCGGGGCCGCGCGCGCUCGCGGCCGCCGCCCGGCCCAGGCUGCGGGCGGAGCGGGCCCAGGCCCGGCCCGGCCCCGGCGCGUCCCGCGGGCCCGGCGCACCCCGGGCCUGCACAGUUAUUUGUGAAUGAAUUUGGCUGAAUAUGGAUCCAGGUGGCGGAAGUCUUGGAUUGCAAACACAGGAAUCCAAAAUGCCUCACACUAUGAUCAUGCAAGAUUUUGUGGCUGGAAUGGCUGGCACUGCUCACAUCGAUGGAGACCACAUUGUUGUGUCAGUCCCCGAAGCUGUCCUGGUUUCUGACGUGGUGACGGAUGAUGGGAUAACCCUUGAUCAUGGCUUGGCAGCUGAGGUGGUGCAGGGGCCCGACAUCAUCACGGAGACGGACGUUGUCACCGAGGGCGUCAUCGUUCCCGACUCUGUGUUGGAGGCUGAUGUUGCCAUCGAGGAGGCUUUGGACACCAGCGACCACGUUUUGACUUCUGACCUGAUCACAGAAACCGUGCGCGUUCCCGACCAGGUGUUUGUGGCAGACCUUGUCACGGGCCCUGAGGGACACCUGGAGCACGUGGUGCAGGACUCCGUGGCCGGCGCCGACUCGCCCACCAUGGUGUCAGAAGAGGUGCUGGUGACCAACUCGGAUUCGGAAGCUGUCAUCCAGGCAGCUGGGACUGUCCCUGGCUCCACGGUCACCAUCAAAACCGAGGAUGAUGACGAUGGCAAGAGCACAUCUGAAGACUACCUGAUGAUAUCUUUGGAUGAUGUUGGAGAGAAAUUGGACCAUAUAGGAAGCACUCCCUUGAAGAUCAGCACCGAGGUGGCAAAUGAUGAUGUGGCUAAAGAUGAUGGCUUUGGUUCAGAAGUUAUCAAAGUCUACAUAUUUAAAGCUGAAGCUGAAGAUGAUGUUGAAAUAGGUGGGACAGAAAUUGUCACUGAGAGUGACUUUCACAAUGGCCAUUCUGUAGCUGGAGUCAUUGAACAAGGAGGUGUUGGGAGAAUGCAGCGAGAAAAAAUGGUUUACAUGGCUGUUAAGGACUCUUCUCAGGAAGAUGAAGAUAUUAGCUGUGCUGAAAUAGCAGAUGAAGUUUAUAUGGAAGUUAUUGUAGGGGAAGAAGAAGCCACAUCCCUUCCAGACACCCAGCUUGAGGACUCUGGCGUGAAUAAAACAUUUGUCCCCGUUGCUUGGGCUGCUGCUUACGGAGAUGAAAGAAGGCUUCCCCGAAGAUACGAAGAUGGUCAAGCGGCAGGAAAUAACUUGGAUACACGAUUAGAAAACAAAAACGGUAAUGCAACACAGUACCUGCAGAUUUGUGAUAGCAUUAGCACUAAUAGAGUGCUCAAACAAAAAACCAAGAAAAGGAGGAGAGGAGAGGCCAGGCAAUGGCAAACAGCUGUUAUAAUAGGUCCUGAUGGACAGCCCUUAACAGUUUACCCUUGUCAUAUUUGUGGGAAAAAAUUUAAAUCCAGAGGAUUCUUGAAAAGGCAUAUGAAGAACCAUCCCGAUCAUAUGAUCAAGAAGAAAUACCAGUGUACAGACUGUGACUUUACAACUAACAAAAAAGUAAGUUUCCACAAUCAUCUGGAAAGCCAUAAACUUAUAAAUAAAGUUGAUAAAACGCACGAGUUUACAGAGUACACGAGAAGAUACAGAGAGGCGAGUCCGUUGAGUUCCAACAAACUCAUCCUGAGGGACAAGGAGCCCAAGCUCCACAAGUGCAAAUAUUGUGACUAUGAGACUGCAGAGCAGGGGCUGCUCAACAGGCACCUGCUGGCAGUCCAUAGCAAGAACUUCCCUCAUGUGUGCGUGGAGUGCGGGAAGGGCUUCCGCCACCCCUCGGAGCUGAAAAAGCACAUGAGGACCCACACGGGGGAAAAGCCAUACCAGUGUCAGCACUGCGUGUUCAGGUGUGCUGACCAGUCCAACCUGAAAACUCACAUCAAAACCAAACACGGCACCGACCUGCCCUUUAAAUGUGAGCACUGUCCCCAGGCCUUCGCCGACGAGAAGGAGCUGCAGCAGCACACCGAGCUCUUCCAAGGGCAUAAGACUCACCAGUGUCCCCACUGUGACCACAAGAGCACCAACUCCAGUGACCUGAAGCGACACAUCAUUUCAGUGCACACCAAGGAUUUUCCCCACAAGUGUGAGGUGUGUGAGAAAGGCUUCCACCGGCCCUCGGAGCUCAAAAAGCAUAGCGAGACCCACAAAGGGAAAAAGAUCCACCAGUGUAGGCACUGUGACUUCAAAACCUCGGAUCCCUUUGUGCUCAGUGGGCACAUCCUCUCCGUUCACACCAAGGACCUGCCUUUUAAAUGCAAAAGGUGUAAAAGGGGCUUCAGGCAGCAGAACGAACUGAAGAAGCACAUGAAGACCCACAGUGGCAGGAAGGUUUACCAGUGCCAGUACUGUGAGUACAGCACCACGGACGCGUCGGGCUUUAAGCGCCACGUCAUCUCCAUCCACACCAAAGACUACCCCCACAGGUGUGAGUACUGCAAAAAGGGCUUCCGCAGGCCCUCCGAGAAAAAUCAGCACAUAAUGAGGCACCACAAAGAGGCCAUAAUGUGAUAGUAAACAGGUUGCUGCAGGGCUAUUUAUCAGACUGUUGAGGAGAGAACAUUGGGUUUGAUUUAACCCUUUAGACUUACAGGUAAUGUAUUUGUGUUUGUUUUGCUUAUUUCUAAAAUAAUUAUCAAAUGUGAUACUGACAUUCCUUUGAUUUUUUUUUUUACCUUUAAGAGAACAAAAAACUUCUCACAUAUUUUGGGUAAACCCAGAAUACUUGAAUUACAACAUCAGUGGCAGAUUAAAAAGCUGAAGAAGAGCAUGUGCUAUUAAAUGAACCCUUCAUCGAGGAUUUUCAACGGGCUUUGAGCCACUGAACUUGUAGAUUUUGCACAAAGAGCAGAAAUUAAGCAGACAGGAAUGAAUUCAUCUGGGUUUUGUUGCUGCUUUUCCUUCCAUGCCCAGCAAUCAGAAAGGAGAAAAUCUUAGUGAUUUAAAGCUGUGGAUUUCUGACAAUGUCAAUGCUUUGUUCCUGAGUGAUAUGUUGAAUACACGGACCAAAGGAGUUUCUUCAUCGCCUGAAGAUGAUCCCUGACUGCCCAUGGCUGCUGGCUCCACUUUCCACCCUACAGCUGGACCAAAGCAUCAGGUUUCAACUGCCCACAAUUAAAGGUAAUAAACUGGAGAGUAAACACGGAAGAGCUGCAGCAGAACUCUGGAGGUGAAGGUGAAGUACUGGGUGUGGCUGCCAGAGAGUUCCCAGCCAGGGCUCUCCUUGGCUUUUAUUUUACAGCUGAGGCAGAGAAACUUCAAUACUGCAGAAAGGUCAGUCAAACCAAAGAAGACAGUUUCCUCCUUUUCAAUGCAAAACAAGACUGCAUUCUGGCAGAUAGACAGGGCAGAAUGUCUGUUGUUGUAAUCAUAUAAAGUAAAUAGUGUCUGACUUUUUCUAAUUUGUUCCUGGAAAUAAUGUAGAAGACUUGAGCUAAAGUAAAACAUUUCUAACCAGGAAUUACAGAGCUGAGUAAAUGAGAAAAUGAGUUUCUGUAAACUCCAGCAGAAACCACAUUUGGUAAAUCAGUUCCAGUUCCACAGCAACAAGGGGACAGCUGAGCCCACAGUAACAGGUACUUCAUAGUAAAAAACUACUACAUUACAUACAGUUUGAAAACAAAACCAGCCUAUAAAUAAGUGGUCAUAUGCUUUACCUACUAGUCUAAUUCAGCUUUUUGACAAGCAUGCAUUGCUUUGUUUUCUGUUAGUACAAAAUGUAGCUGCAGCUUCAGCUCUGCAGCAUUUACAGGGUCUGGUGAUCGUCAGACUCUUUGAGGAGCUGUCCUUGCUACCCCCAGGACAGAGAGCUGGCUGUCCUGAGCAGCAACCUGGGCUUUUUCUAAGCAGGUUGCAGUUUCCCUGGCUGCCCCAGGAUGGUGUUUCCAGUGGGAUGGCUCAUCUGGAUUUGAAAAGAGCAUUUUCCUGACAGUGGCCUUUGCCAUGCAGUUGUCUCACCACACCCAGCAGCUCCUGGUCUGAGCCCUGUCCAUCCUUAAGGGAGUUCCCUGCGUGCCCUGUGCUGUACCAGAGAAUGGAGGAAACACAACUUGGUGUCACUGAGGGGCUGGUUGGGAAAUCCAUGGGUGAGAUGAGCCAUCAGGAACUGUGGCAAUUAAUAACUCCCAUUUCUGCUCUUUGUAGCUUUGUCUGAGCUGUGGGAAACACCUGGCCCUGGUGGGAGCACAAGGAGCACCUGCACCCAGACACCUGCACAGAUUGCCUCAGGACUGGCUGAAGAACAGGAGCUAGUCAAGAACAGCUGAAGUCCACAGAAGAAUAGCAUCCCACUCUUCCGAGGGAAAAGACAAUGCUGUGACAUUCCCAGUGGUGCUGAGCACUUGGGCUGGUGUGG